rnacentral:rRNA from 1 species
UGUGAUUUCUUAGAUCGUACGGUUCCUUCGGGGACUGUUGGAUAACUGUGGUAAUUCUAGAGCUAAUACAUGCAAUCAAGCUCAGACCUUCGGGGACGGGCGCUCAUAUUAGACCAAGGCCAACCUGUGGGGCAACCCGCAGACGUCUGUGGUGACUCUGGAUAUCCAUCAGUUGAUCGCACGACCUUUGCGUCGGCGACGAUAUCUUUCAAGCGUAUGCCCUAUCAUCUGUCGACGUUAGGUUAACAGCCUAUCGUGGAAGUAACGGGUAGCGGGAAAUCAGGGUUCGAUUCCGGAGAGGGCGCAUGAGAAAUGGCGACCACAUCCAAGGA